AUUCCUCUUGGAAUAUGAUAUGGAGAUGCACAAUUUCCUGCCUUACAUAACUCAGAUCCGGAGCUGUUCCACACAACUUGCCUUUUCCCUGCAAAAAACAAAGCUGCAGGUACCUGCCAGGCUGUUACACAGGGAUCACGUCACUGCCAAGACCGAUUGUGUUCACAUACAGCAUCUCCCCAGUAUUUAUCUGUUUUAUGUGGCUUAUCAGGUGCCAGUGAAACCUCUGUUCCUGACGGGGUAAUGCAGGCUUGAAGGCAAGAGAAACCCUCUGGCUUAUAGCACAUCCUUUACUAAUCCACCGAGACACAGCACAUCAAUAACAGCGCUGGGAAGGAGCGGAGCUGCCUCACAGCUCACACACACUCAAGCUGCUGAGCUUCAGGUGCUCCCAGAGCAGGAAUUGGUGGAUGAAACUCCAGUCCGGGUGGGAAGAGGUACGUUCCGUAUGCCAUGGGGUCCGUGCUUGACAGAAGGAAGCCAAUGGGGAGGGAAUCAACCCACUUGGACCCCCAUCUGCUUUUACAACCCAACCUCUAACUCUGCUUUUACGCGAGAGCUGCUGCUUUGACUGUUCCCCCAGUGCACCUCAGCUGGAGCCGUGCUGCAGCAGCAAAGAGCCUCUUCUUCAUUAUUUGCCUUAAGACUGGCAUUAUAUCAGCAUUUUAAUGUGCCUCUUCCUGUGAGGGAGAUGUGGGACAAGCUGUACCUGCUGCUGUGCGACCCAGCUCCAGCAGCUGGGCUGGGGUGUCAGGCAGCCAUGUGGCUGGGGGACAACUCGAGACCCCUGGCCCAUCCUGAUACCCCCCAGCUGCUGCCCACAGCCCUCCCUUCCCAUGGCAACCCCCCGGGGAGCCCUGCACGCUGCUGGCACCUCUAAAACCUUCCUGCCUGAAGCACAGAGGACUCCAGCACUCAGGCAUUUAGGAAAAUGUGUUAAUUUUACAGGGGUUGAGCAGGGAGGAGAAAAUUGGUGGCAAUGCCUGUGCAAGGAGAGCAGGUGAGAGGAGCUGCCCUGUGUCCCUGGACACCUGGGAAGCAGGGGACACCCAAGAGCUCCCCGUGAAAAAAUGACACCCUGCCUAAACCAUUUGUCAUUAGCUCCCAUUUAAGAGAAGAAGAAAGCUGUGCAAACCAUUAGGAAGAUAAUUGGUCUCUCCUCUGUAUUUCAAUAAAAGCAAGGGACAAAAUACCAUGUAUGUGAAAUAAGUGCUUUAGGAUAACAGCACUCGUCACCUUGACAACUCGGUCAGAGGUCUCGGCGUGGCAGUGCCUGUUCAGUGAGGUGUGAGGAAUAGAGGACGCCAGGGACAGGGGGAAGAUACUUGUCUGACCAGCGGAGAUGUGAGGACCACAACAGGCUGUUAGCUGCAGGAUUUCUAAACAGGCAGCAGCUUUCACAAGGAAACGACGUUACAAAAAUAACCCCUGCGGAGCCGGGGAGCAGCGCCGGAGCCGUCCUGGCUGUGCCGCGGUGCCAGCGCCGGCUGGGCUGUGACGGGAUCGCGGCAGAGCCCAGGGCCGGGGCCAGCACGGCACCCAGGGGGUGACAGCAGCUGACCUGGGGGUUCAGCUCGUCCUGGGCAGUGGGCUCCCCUCCGCUCCCCCUGAGGACCGCAGCCAGUGCGUGCAGUGCCCCUCGCUCCGCGGACGGGACCGGGGGGUGCAGGGUCUGGUGAGCACCUUGCAGGGACACGGUAACACCAGGCACUCCCAAACACACCAACACGUAAAACAACAUAAUAUUGCAAACAAAAGGUGACAAGGUAACAUACUAAUAUGAACAGACACAAAAUCAAUAGGAAUUUCUAUUUAGGUAGGAAAUCAAUAGGAAUUUCAAGGUAGGAAAAAAGGAAAUUACUUACCUUUAAUUUGAGCUCUCUUCAAGUCUGGUUCUCCAUAGAUGGGCGGUAGGGGCUGGUGGGGCUGGGGCAGCAGGAGUCCCCUGGAGAUGAUGGCAGGGACACCUCCCCAGCUGCACUGGGGCAACAUGUCACCCCACUGAGGCCCCUGCCCUGCCCCACACAGGUAGAGGUGGGCCCGUGGCCCAAACCAACCCAUCAGUCCUUGGCAUCUCUGCUUGGAGCAGGACAGGGCUCUGCCAAGCCAGUGGGCACGGAGGGGACAGGUUCUGACAGACCCCUCAGGCACAAAGAAGGGAGCAAAGGGAGCACCCCCAGGGACCGGGGCCAGGGGCCCGAGAGGGGCAGCAGCAGCUCAGAGCUUCAGUUUCCAGUGUCCUCAUCCAGCAGCAACACCAUUUGCAGUGUUUGCAAAACAGGCCGUUCUUGGGAAGAAGAAGUCAGUGCAAGGUGCCUGUGAUGUGGCAGCUCAGCCCUUACCCACAGGACAAUCAUGCAAAUGGGCUCACUGGUCCGUGCAGAGCCCUCCUGAGUCCAGCACGCCUUGGCCGCGGUUCUGGCUCUGGCUGCACGGUGGCCUUAGAGAGAUGAGGACCUCAGUUUGAGCCCCUUUGAAUCAAAAGAUGCUAUGAAAGUGAGAGAUUACUAUUUUGUUAAAAGCAGAGCUAGCUGCACCUCAAGCUCUGCCCCUUCACUUACUUAAAAUUAAAAGACUUCUAGAAGUAAGUAUUAGUAUUCCACUGACAAUCCCCAAAUCACCUCCUGAUGUGGUUGAAGGUGGAAACAAUUUUAAGCUGCCGUUUCCAGCUAGAUUUGAAUGUAGCAGCAAAGCCCAGCGUACCAGCAUUUUGAAUUUCAUUCAUUCGUGCUAAAAUGGUCUGAUGCAUUUUAAUUUACACAGAAUUGGAGGGAAGCAUGAGCUUUGGUAAAAAGUGGGCAAGAUGGGCCUUUGCCAGGCAACCGCAGGGCCUGAAAUGCAGAUGUCUGUGGCUGUAGAGGGAGAGGGCAGCACACCCCAGCUCCAACUCGGUGCCUUUGGCUGCCAUAAGUUUUGUUGUGGGAUCCAAAGGUGCAUUUCUCCUCCUCCCAGCUGGGAUCAGGCUCCACGUGGCCGGGCGGGGCCUCCUUGGCAGCCCAGCCCACCACGGUGAGAGCAGACUGAGGGCAAAGUCCAUCUGGCCCUGGAUAUUAAUCCUGGGUUGUGUGACCACUUUUCUGCCAUCAUGGGCUCUUUGAAAUGCACAUUAACCCCAGGUAUAACAGCACUGAUUGGAAUAAUCAGCAAGGGGAGAUAUUUUCAACAGAAUAUGAACAAAAAAGGGAAAAUAACCGUGUACGAAGGAUUUUCUUGGCAGUUCUCUUGUCCCUUUUGCCAAAAGUCCAUACGAUGCUCUGUGCCACCAUGGAGGUGUUGGAGACCUCCUGAGAGGAUGGUGUCUGGCAAAGGAAAAGAAGCAAUGGUCGAGUGCAGGUUUGCAGCACAGCCUGGCAGUGUCCCAGCUUGGACCUCUGUGAAGAACAGCAACAAAUCAGCUCCACUUGCUGAGGACACUAAAUUGAGGUGAGUGCCGAAUGAGCUUGCAACAGCACAACAAAAAUCCAAAGGAUUUUAUCAUCUUUGUAGCAGAAGGGACAUAUGGUAAAUAAAAUUUAAUGUUGCCAAAUGGGGAGAGAUGCAAAAUGGCCUAAGAACCAUAAAGCAAAGAGCAGCAUGAAUGGAGGGGAACUGGUGCAAGAGGGAGGAUACUGAAGAUAAGGAAAGAACUGAAAUCAUUACAAAAGCAUUGAAUGCAUCCAUGGAUAUUUACCCUGGUUGCAAAAUAGCCCCAGCCCUGGCAGAGCCACCUGGUCCAGUGCCACAUGGAGAUUGGCUCCUGCAGGCACUGAUAGCUCCUGUCCCUUUGUCUCUCUCCCUCAUUUGGUUCUUGGAGCACUGUUCUCUCCUAACACCCCUCCCUGGGAACUGGAGGAGCUGAUCUGAAGUGUCAUCUCCUCCGUUAAGACAGCUCAGAGUUGAAUGGCUCUCUCUGUGAGACAGUCCCCUGUGCCAAGGUCAGGACUUUCUCCAGAUUUCAUGGUUUUAGUCUGGACUUUCCAUUCCUCUCUUCUGGCUCCUUAACAUGACCCAGUCCUUAACUCCUUUGUGCUCCUGGGGCAGCAAGGCCACUUCUGAGCCUGAAUUGUGCUGGGAUUCAGAGGCAGGCACAAGGCUUAUGGGCUUCUUUCACCUUUAAUGAAUAACACCUUUUUUUUUUCCCACCCUGAAAACUGCAGCCACCUUCACAUUUCCCUGCAACACCAUGCUUGUGCCUAAUUAAGCUCUAUUAAUACUAAUGAACAGACUCACCAUAGCCCAUCGCUUUAGUUCUUAAUCUAAUGCCAUGUUGUGACACUUGUUCAAUGAUGAUUUCAGACCAUGAAUCAAAUCAUUGUGGUUCAGCCCAUAUGCCCAGCUCCCUUCUCACGUGAGAGCGGAGAGAAAUCUAGGCCAGCAAAUAGCAAAACUGGUUAAGGAGCUGCUAAUUAAAUAGAAAGUCAGACAGGAGGCCAGGCUGUCCCAGUGCAGGGCAGCAGCUUGGGAAGGGGCAGAGGUCCUGAGUGUGGUGCUCCAGCCUGAGCAGACCCUGACUUCCAAAGCUCAUGUGCAGAAGGGGAAAAGGCACAGAAAAGGAGCAAAGAGUGAUCCUGUGAGGGUAGACAUCACUAAUGAGGAAGCCCCAACAGUCCCUUCCUUCUUCCCCCCCCCCCAUCCCAGAGAGAAACCAAACCCAUUUAUUCUGGGAGGAGAGGCCACCCCUGCACUGAGUAGGGGCUCCUGGGCUGACUGGUUUGUGUAAGAUUUGCAAAUUCUGAAAAGAAACCAACUCCCCCUCAAUCCUGAAGGUUCCAUGAAAACAAAAACGCUUUUUAUUCCUGAUGUGUUCCUAUUACCUGUCACUUAGUUUUGCAGGGUGAUACAGAAUUUAAUUCUCUCUGUACCUGCAUUCCCAAACUUUUUGCAUUCCUCGAGUACUGGUUUACUGUUGCAAUGGCCCACAAAGCACUGUGUCUGUGCUGGGUGCUGGACUGGGUCCUUCAUUCUGUGCUCUCUUUGAUGCUGCUGAAUUAUUCAGGUGGGAGACUCCACUGAAUACAAAGGUUCAAAUAAGAAACAUUAAAGUUAGAAACUCCCAGGUUUUCAGAAGUACUGGAAGGGAAAAAAAAUAUUUCAGCCAGGUUGAUUUAUGUUUAAAAUACCAAAAUAUACUGCUGCACUGAUCGCUUUGAAUUGUGCUGUCAUGUUGGGUGGCAGAAAGAGAUGAGAUUUUUCAAUAUGUUAAAGUGUAAAUGUUGUUAAAAACACAGUAUUAGGAGAUUAAGAUUCUGACCCUUUACAUUCCAAUGAUCGUAAAAAUGAGCCUUGCAGCCCAUUACAGAACAGCUUGCCGAGGCAUCACACUGAAUCACUGCACCACCAGGAUGCUAUAACCCUGCUCCAGCUUAUUCAUAGGCAUCUGCUGAUGUGGCAUCUACAUCAAACUGUGAAUGCAAAUGCAAGUCGGAGGGCUUGGAUGUGCUUUAAUAAACCCUGCCAGGUUCCCCCUCCUGAUCUCAAAGCUCUGGGGGAGAAAACUGCUCGUGCAGCUGUGGGACAUGGCAGACACAGUGGCCACACAGUGACACCGAGUCACAGCACCCGCCACGGCUCCUCCUCUUCUUCACUCAUCCCAAAUUAACCUCACUGGGCACUGGCUGCAGGGAGCAGCCCGAAUCUGGACAACUCCAUGGAGAAAGCCCCAUCGAUUACAGUUAAUUAGGCCUCACUUUUUAGAAGACCACAGCAUUAGUAGCUGCUCUGCUGAACGUGGGGCUGUGUCCCCCUGUGCUGUCAGCGUGGGGACUGCUGGGUCCCUUGGGCACCGAGGCCGGGAAAUGAUCAUUUCCAUCUAAAUAUUUAUAUCAUCAGGCUGCCAGAUGGGGAAGAGAUGCUCACCCAAGACUUUCCCUAGGCUCAGGACCUGCCCGUCCCCAGUGCCACUGCUGGACUCACCUCCCACCAGGAGAGCCAGGGACAGGCAGUGCCACUGGCUGCAGGCACAGCCUCUGAUCCUUCCAGCAGCAGCAAUUAUUUAAUGUAAUGAGAAGAAUCCAAGCACUGGAACUUUUCAGAGAGAUUAAAUGUUUUAUGAUAGACCAAAAUUGUGUAAUGAAAAAGGCUGAUUUUGUGUAUGGGAAGAUACUUAGAAAUAAAACAUGUACUGGUGCCUGGGAGGCUGAGGCAGAUGAGGACUGGAGCCCUCUCCCAGCUCAACAUUCCUCCCAGCCAUCCUCCCCCAAUAUGACAUCACUUCUCACCCAUCCCACCAUCCCUAUCAGCAGGACACAGCCCUGGCAGAGGCACUGCAGGGACACAGGGAUGGUAGGACAGCUCACCAGCCAGGCUGAACCCCCUGUGCCCUCCUUAUGGACAGCCAGGGUUCAGCACGGAAACACGCAGAUUCUGGCUUUUAUUUGAGGCAGGUUGGAAAGAGCAGUGAAGGUUAUUGAAAACAUAACGAAAGCUCCUCCUUAUUUCAUUAAAUACAAAUGUGAGUGGGGUCAUCAGUUUUUAUAGGGGCUCGUAAAGCAUCCCUCUUGUUCAAAUAGGCUAUCAAAUCACCCAGGGCUCCUCUCCGGGAGGAGCGCAAUAAACCCAGAGUUUCUUCUUUAAGAAACUCAUCUCAACAUCAUAAUAAAAUAACCUUAAAUAAUACAGUAUGGAACAGGUUUUCAAUAACAUAAUUAUAGGCUUCCAUUUUUUUCCUGGCAGGUCAUUUCUUGGUAUCUAUUUUGGAUGCCACAUUGCAGAGGAAGGGGGUAGGGAUGGAAGCAUGGGUGGAUUUUGAAGCAUGUCCUCAGGUCACAGCAGAUCACCUUGCCUUUCCUUUGUGCAGUGCAGGCACCACAAGGCCUGGGGAAGCUGGGCAGAGCUGCAGCCUGUGGAGAUGGGACAGCAGAAGUAAAGCUAGUUUCUCCCCCUGUUCAGAUGCUGACUUGCUGCCUUCCUCACUCGAGCAGAGCUCUGUGUGCAAUGAUUCAGGCCAGGCUCCACUCCCUGCUCUCCCCAGGUACUCUCUCCCAAUCAGUGCACCCCCAGCACCACAUGGUUCUAUUUGUGGCUUACUUUAUUCCAGCUGAACGUAGUAAAAUGGUUUGUCAUCUCCAUUUUUUUGCCGUAGUGUCCUGGAGGAAUAUGCUCCGGAAUGCCUUCAGCAAGAGCCUCUAAUCUGGAAGAGUCAUUUCUCCCUCUGCCUCUCGCAGUACAGGAGCAAUGCAGUGGCUGCUGGCUGGAAAAUUAGCCCAGGGAACUCUCUCCUCUGUCUGUCUCUCACCUCAUUAGACUAGUGAGAAAAUGUAAUUGUAAGUCUCUCAGGCUUUCCCCUCGCCGGCUGGUGGGGGAUAGUGCUUCACAAGGGCUGGGGGAGGCAAAGCUGCACCCCAGCUGUUAGCACUGCACCUCAGCCCAGCUGCCACGUGGUGCCAACCACGAGCACAGUGCAGGUGGGUCCCCCUGUGCCCCACCAGGGCUGCCCCUCCUGCCCGGGUCAGCUGUCCCUGUGCCACCUCACAUCCUUCAGCAGAGAUCAGCCAAGGCAGGGGCAGAUGGUGCUGGGCACCACAGGGCUGGGCUGAGCCCACCAGCAGGCAGAGACCACCACUUGCCCUGGGGGUCUUCACCUCUGAGCAGCGACAGUGUGGGGAUGGCCACACUCUGCAGCCCUGGGGCCAGCCCUCUGCCCUGUGGGGCACAGCACGCCUGGGGGUGGGAUCUACCGGGGAGAACGUGGAACGUGAGGCAUUGCCCGUGGUGGUCGUGGCUGGGCAGAGCCUUCUCCACGGGCAGGGGCUGCUGGUGCCACCAAGCUCCUCCAGGCACAGCCAGCACAGGGCUCACAGGGAAGCCAGCCCUUCAAACCUCCCAUCCCAGUCUGCAGCACAGUCCAGCCUCCUCUGGUUGUUCCAAGUGUGUGUGCUUUGGCUUGGCUGUCCCGCUCCAGAUUGAUUUCCCUGCCUGCUUUACCAGUCCUGGGUUUUCUCAUUGCAAGCACCAAACUUUUGCUGGAAGAUAAAGCCACAGGUCUGAAUGAAAUGGAAAGUCUCAGCCAGCGAGUUCCAAAAUAAAGAGGGGUGUUAUUCACACCAGCUCCUGACACAUACAUGUAUUGGUGUAUGUUUGGUGAGGUUAACAAAGCUUCAUACACAGAGGCUGGUUUUGGUGUAGGAUGGGAAAUGCUGAGGCUGAGUCCAACCAGCUCAGCAAUAACGUCUGCCGUGUGUUUUAAGGCAGGAAGCAACGCCUCAGCUGAAAUCACUUAAACAAAAAGAUUGCAGUGAGGGGCAUAAUGCAAGAAAGUAAUAAGGUUUAAAACAGGUCAGAGCCCUUUCCCUGCUCCACUGCUCCUGAGUGAGAUGCAUUAUUUAAUGGUCUUUGGUCACCGCUGAUAUACUGUUGAUGAAAUAGAUGAUUUUGUUCAAAAGAGCAUUAGAGAAGAAAUAUACAAUACUGCAUUACACUCCAGCACAGUUCCCUCUCUGGUAAAAGCCGAUAGAUUGAAGGUUUUUCCUCUUGACAGGAAAGCAAAGCAGUUGAAAUGAAAAGUCUUAUGAAAUGGCAAAUACAAAUGGUAAUAAUGCCACCAUAUUCAAAAUUAAAUUGUUGUAAUUUUAGUUUCUGAGCAUGGCAAAGUAAUACAAUAUUCAGCACAGGCUUGGAGAGCAAAACCCUUUGGCAAUAAUGAUGGUGCCUCAUGAGCUAACCAAACCAUCUUUUAUAAAAAUGUGGAGUCUGAUGGGUCUCUCCAUCAGCCACAGGAAUGUUGUGUUGUGGUACCCCAGACGUGGAGCGAGUGGGCUGCAGUGCUGUGCUCAGCCUAAGGAGGUCUCUCCUGAAAGGAAAAGACAUUUGAACUGUCCAGAUGUGUUGGAUCAGAGAUCCCACUGAUGACAGUCUGCAGCCAGGUCUCGGUGGGAUCAAGACAGAAGACCUGCCUUGCCCUUUGUGCUUGGCCUGGUUGUUUCCUGGCUGCAGGAGUUUGGUGUGGUGCUGGUGGCAAAGGGCACUGCUGGCACCCCUGGGGCAAAGGGCACUGCUGGUGAGGCCUGCAGGCAAUCAGGGCUGAACAGACACACAUCCUCCCUCUGCCUGCUCGUGAGUUUGCUUCACAAGGAGCCUCCCUGUUCCUGUAGCAAGUGGGUGAGUGUCUGCCUCUCCCACUCCUCCUGCCUCUCCAAGCCCUGCAAAUAGCUUUGGGUAUUGAAUCUGCGGAUUGCAACCGCUCCAUGUUUGAAUAGCCUGCUGACCUUUCCCAGUAAUGCCUCUUUUAUAACCUUCAUCUUCUGCGGGGGUUCACGCCAUCCCUGUACUUACAGACCAGGAAUCCAAUGUGUAAUGAUAACAUGGAGCCAGGCACUCCAGCCAUGCAAUUAUUCUCCCUGCAUCCCUGUUUGCACUGUGACUUUCAUCGCGGUUAAAUGCUGCUAUUUUCUUUUGCCAGGCCCUGGGAGAGGCUCGAGUUUGCCCUCGGUAGGUUCAAGUCUCUUCUGCCAACAGAGGGAUAUUUCGAUGCAUAUAAAUGGAUUUAAGGUCUGAUGUACCAGGACAUGCAAAAUAGACUCAGUUGUUGGGGUGCCCUUCUGUGAAUGGCCCAGCACAAAUCCCCACCUUCCUCUGAGAGCUGCAGCAGCUGAGACAGCACCAACAAUUCAGGAAGACAGAAGCAAAACCAGUACCUCUGUCCCAGCAAGUGGGAAUGCCAGAGGGGACAGUUGGGAGCACACCUGGGACCGACACAGCGCGAGGUGGGCAAACCUGGCCAGGCUUCACACACGACUGAGCCUUGGAAUUGGGCACCUCAUAGAGUCAAAGUCAAAUAACUAUAGAGCAGUGCAGUGAGUGUGGCAGGAAAGGAGCUCUGAGGUCAGCUGAUGGUGAGCAGAAGGGUUCUGUGGUCAGGGCAGAUGUGCUGUGCCACCCACUGCACACAGGCACAGCCAUGGCCAGUAAUGCUCUGCUGCUCCACUACUGUGAGUAUCCAUCAAGAUCCAGCAAAAAGAGCCACCUUGGUCUGGCAACAUCUGUUUGCAUUAGUUGUAAAUCCAGGACAAAACAUCCCUCAUAAAUAAUUAAGUCAUCAGGGUACACUCACAUCAAGAGUGAAUUGUCCCGCAAUGCGGCCCCAGAGGACAGGCUGCUCUGAGGGCAGGGGGCCCCUGGCCAGGGAGAUUCCCCAGGAGCAGCAGCAUUGUUGGGGGAUCCCAGGGUGAUCCCAGAGGCAGGCAGAGUGCCCUGGCACUGCUGUGGGCUGUGCCCACACCGGGCUCUCCCCCAUCAUCACAAGGAUUUCAAAAGAUUUAAAUAGCCCUUCAAGACAGAUUGGGUGUUUCUCAUGGAUAGUCCUUCAUUCAGCUGAUAAGGAUUUUAGCAGUAUCCCAAAAACCUCCAAAUCCCAGGCUCCCUCUCAGGAGGUGGGAAUGUCAGGAGCUUUGCAGAGCAGAGGAGCCUGUGCCAGUCCUACCCGUGGUCUGGGCUGGGUUUUGCCGUGGUGCUGCUGUAGGUGUGUGUUGGGUUCCUGUGCCCUGGUGCCAGGGCCACAACAGAAUCUGAACUUUUAUUUUGCACUGUGCAGCCCCCCGGUCCCCUCACGGUCCCCCUGUGCACAUGGGGCUCCAGAUUUGUCUUUUCUUGUCUGCAUUAGUGAGAGGGAGAUGCAUUAAUAAGGCGGGGAAGCAGGGGCGGUGGCAGCCCUCGCUCUGCUUGAGGAGGAGUGAUUGCUGUGCGGAGGGCUGGGAGGCAGGAGGAUAUAACCCUAAUGUCUGCACCUCAGGACACGCCAUUAAAAAGGCAUCUGCACUGACACAGAUCUGUUGUUUAUCAAUACCCUGACAAGCAUUUCCCCUGCAGCAGGGAACACCUCCACGCCACGGCGGAUAACCGAUGGAGCGCUGCUCGCCGCCUGCCCCGCAGUGCCCAGCCCGUGCCCGGCCCUGCCGGGACAGCCACAUGGCACUGGCACAGCCACGUGUCCCAGCACCCACGCACGUGUGGGAACAGGAACAGGCUUAAUUGAUUUAUUUCUCGCCUCUGUGGGAGCCACUUGGUCUCUGCCACUGCCCAAGGGCCAGGUGCCACCCCGGCUCGUUCCCCUGCUUGGCUUCCGUGCAGAGAUGAGCGCUGGGACGUCGCAGGGAUUCAUCCUCAGGCUUGACACUCCAGACUGCCAGUCACCUGCACAAGGGAGUCCAGGGUGGAGAACAGUUCCCUCUGGGAUACCCUGGCACUGCAGAAGCACCUGGUUCUGCUGGUCCAGGAGCUGCAGUCUCUGAGCACGGGGAGCCCCGUGGCCCCCGGUCGUCACCCCUGCUCUCCCCGCUCUGUUCCACACCUGUGUUUGGGGAGGCAGAAGCCACGAGGAGAUAUUUCACACCUUCUGCCAGCAUUGGAAGGUUUUGCAGGACUCCCCCUGUGUCCCAGUAUUCCUGACUCCACUUCCUGGCCAGAGCCAGUGUUCUGCUCCGGUGCUGGGAGCGGUGCUGGGAGCGGUGCUGGGAGCGGCGUCUGCGGCACACGCGGGUUAUAAACUUCCUCUGCGAGUUCCCUGCAGACAGAUAUCCUUGAGACUCACCUCCAUCUCCCGCUCAGGUCACAGGGAGAUUUAGAGAUGGGGAGCUGUAGUUAAGGUCCAGAUCUGCUAUCUGAACUUGAGUGAUGGAGGACACAUUCCCGGGACAUGUUUAUUGUCACCCGGCGGCCCCGCAAUCCCGCUCGCACAGAGCCACCUCCAUUCCCCGUAUAAUUCAUGGGCUGACUCCAUGGUGGAGUGACUGAUAAGGCCUUCACGCCGGGCUUGCCGGCCACAUGUCUCAAGGAGACUCCAGAGGAGCUUCAGCACAAUAUAAAUGUGGCUCCGUGUCAGCCUCAAACCCCUGGAAAAUUCCCCGUCUCGAGAGUGCAGCAUUUUAAGUAAUAAAACCAUAGAGAGAUUACAACAAAAUGUGACAGGAAUUUAUAGCCCUCUGCAUGAACCUUUUACCUUAAGAUGGAACAAAGUUGAGAGAAAAAAAUUGCGUGGUUCACUUAGGUAACCUUUCCAACCAGCUCUGCUCAGCUCCUGGCCCCGCAUUCCUCUUUGCUGAUUUAAUAGGAAAAAAACAGCCCUGCUGAAGGCAGGGAGCUGGAGAUGAGGCAGGCACCAUGCUUUAACCCUCACUGCCUCCUCCCUGCCUGAGGCACCAGGAUUCCAGAGCAAAAGAAGUCCCAGGUUGUGCUGAGGACUGGUUUUAGCCCCUGCUCCUCACUGCCGUAGGAUGGGACACCAGGGCAGGCUGGGACAUUGGGACAUGCUGGCUCACAGGGAGGGCUGUCUUUAUCCUUUUAUUGUAUUUUCCCUCAAGUGAUACCAAAAUUCCUACAGCAUCUGUAAUACCUAAUGAAAAGAAGGGCUAAGCACCAGCUCUGUACAUACCCUAAUGACACAGGCUCUGCUUCCGAGUGCUCCGUCCCUCCGUGCUGGGAGGGUGUUUUUAUUGCCUGUGAAAGGGUCAUGCAGCACAGCUAAGCAGAUUCCCGACUCUCCCUGAUGCUGGAUUUACUGCCACUUUCAGCAAUAAACAGUGGAAUUAAUCCUGAGUUUACUAAUCCAAAGAGUAAACAAUAUCCAGUGGAGACAUUCAGGCAAGAUAAAUGCAAGGGAGUUAAAAGCAAGUAGGGUGAAAUCAUUCUGCUCUCAGCUAAGGAGUCAUUGGAGGAGCGUGAAGCCUCCACAUACAGUAUUAUCAAAUUGUUAAUAAACGUUUCUAAAGUCUGUAA